rnacentral:misc_RNA from 1 species
CCUGAAGAUACCUUCCGGCGAAGUGUCCACACAGAUUGUCUGAUAGAAGUAACGAGCAAAGUCACACCAGAGUCCCCAUCGUCUAGAGGCCCAGGACACUGCCCUUUCACGGCUGUAACAGGGGUUCGAAUCCCCUUGGGGACGCCAUACCGGUAACGAAGUGAAAGACGUUAUCACCCGUAUCUCAAAACUGAUUCCGCGAAAGCGAGUCACGUUUGAGAUAUUUGCUCUUUAACAAUCCGGAACAAGCUGAAAAUUGAAACGACAUGUCGUGUUCAUUCUCCGUAAUCAGAAUGAAGCCACGAUAUGUUCGAGUCUCUCAAUGCCUGCAACCGACACACGUCUUUCGGGACGCUUGUGGGUUGUGA